CUCCCAAGAAGGACUCCCAGACCAUGUAGCCAGAGAAGGCACCUCUGCUGCAAAUGGUUCAACACUCCCCCUAUCGUCUCCAUCCCAGAAGCUAGCGCAGAUAAGAAGGU